rnacentral:misc_RNA from 1 species
ACAAGCUUAGAAUAAUUUGUAUCUCACUAUCUUUACAUCUGUAUAUAGUUUUGCAUGCACAGUUAGGGUCUAAGCUGCAGGACAAAAUUUGUCCACGUAAGAAAUAUUUUUCAAUAAAUACUUGAAUCAAUUCGAGGAAAACUGUCAUGGCAAUUUUUAAAAAUAAUUUAGUCAUCUUUAUUCAAAAUGGUAAAAAGUUGCAGCACGACAACUCAAAGGAAAGGUUAAGUACCUUCUCUUUUGAUAGGCUUAAGAAAGCUCAAGUUACUUAUAUACUUAUGGACCUCUAGGUACUUAAUGAGUUGGUCUAUACUGAUGCUGCAUUCAUAGUGGAGAUAACGAGACGCUGAU